AUUGAACGCUGGCGGCAUGCCUUACACAUGCAAGUCGAACGGUAACGCGGGGCAACCUGGCGACGAGUGGCGAACGGGUGAGUAAUGCAUCGGAACGUGCCUGGUAGUGGGGGAUAACUGCUCGAAAGAGCAGCUAAUACCGCAUACGACCUGAGGGUGAAAGGGGGGGAUCGCAAGACCUCUCGCUAUCAGAGCGGCCGAUGUCGGAUUAGCUAGUUGGUGGGGUAAAAGCCCACCAAGGCGACGAUCCGUAGCUGGUCUGAGAGGACGACCAGCCACACUGGGACUGAGACGCGGCCCAGACUCCUACGGGAGGCAGCAGUGGGGAAUUUUGGACAAUGGACGCAAGUCUGAUCCAGCCAUGCCGCGUGCGGGAAGAAGGCCUUCGGGUUGUAAACCGCUUUUGUCAGGGAAGAAAUCUUCUGGACUAAUACUCUGGGAGGAUGACGGUACCUGAAGAAUAAGCACCGGCUAACUACGUGCCAGCAGCCGCCGUAACAC
rnacentral:rRNA from 1 species